ensembl:lncRNA
CACAACGGAUGGGCGGGAUAAUUCCAGGGAGCGGAACUCAUUGGCUUCUACGGAGCUGCCGCUCUUCGCUAGAGGAACGCUGAUAGGCUUGCCCCGUGGAAAGAGGCGGGAUCUUUGGGGCCUACCGGUGCUCCUUCUAAAACUAAGCAACUGCCUUUUUCUCCUCCUUUAGUUGAUAAGCGACCAGUAUGACCUUGGCAAGAUGAGCCACUUGAAUCAGGCCAGCCAGGUGGGAUGUGAGAGUACCAUAGGGGUUCUGAAAGAGGGAGCAUUACAGAGAAAAGAAGGCCUGAGUUUUGCCAAGCCCCCAGCUGAAGAAUAAGAACGCAAUUCUAGUGGCCUAGAUCGUGUCCCAUUACUAUCUGAGCAAGAGUUGGGGCCAGAAUAUACAACUGAGUUCUCUACUCUUGAAAUUUCUGCAGGCUCCAUGCCCUAUGCAGGAUCCCCCACCAGGGUUGGAACACAUGUCUUGUGCAUUGGGAGUGUGGAGUCUUAACUACCGCACCACCAGGGAAGUCCCAGGAUUUAUCAUCUUUCUAAGAAGAGGAAGGGAAUAGUUGUUUUUCUCUUCUCCACAAGAGGACUCAGCAAGAAGAUGGCUAACUAUCUGCAAACCAGUUAAGAAGGCUCUCUCUUGACCCUGAAUCUGCUAGCACCUUGGUCUUGGAUUUAUCAGUCUCCAAAUCUUUGAGAAAUAAAUAUUUAUUAUUUACACUAUCACACUAUCUGAUCUGUGGUAUUGUGUUAGACCAAUCCGAUUUAAGACAGGCUAUAAACCUCCUUCCUUAUCUCUGGUGGAAUUUGGACCAGUUCCUAGAAAUAGACCAGCAACUUUGGAAUUGCCCUCUUGUCUAGGGUGCUAG